rnacentral:rRNA from 1 species
AACGAACGCUGGCGGCAUGCCUAACACAUGCAAGUCGAACGAGACCUUCGGGUCUAGUGGCGCACGGGUUCGUAACGCGUGGGAACCUGCCCUUAUGUUCGGAAUAACUCCCCGAAAGGGGUGCUAAUACCGGAUAAUGUCUUCGGACCAAAGAUUUAUCGCCUUUGGAUGGGCCCGCGUUGGAUUAGCUAGUUGGUAGGGUAAAAGCCUACCAAGGCGACGAUCCAUAGCUGGUCUGAGAGGAUGAUCAGCCACACUGGGACUGAGACACGGCCCAGACUCCUACGGGAGGCAGCAGUGGGGAAUAUUGGACAAUGGGCGAAAGCAUGAUGCAGCAAUGCCGCGUGAGUGAUGAAGGCCUUAGGGUUGUAAAGCUCUUUUAACCGGGAUGAUAAUGACAGUACCGGGAGAAUAAGCGCCGGCUAACUCCGUG